AACGAACGCUGGCGGCGUGGAUUAGGCAUGCAAGUCGAACGCGAAAGAGGGAGCAAUCCCUCAAGUAGAGUGGCGAACGGGUGAGUAACGCGUGAAGAACCUGCCUUCAACAGGGGGAUAACACUCCCAACGGGGUGCUAAUACCGCAUGAGACCACGGGUCCGCAUGGACCUGAGGUCAAAGGUGGCCUCUGCUUGCAAGCUACCGGUUGAAGAUGGCUUCGCGUCCCAUUAGCUAGUUGGCGGUGUAAAAGACCACCAAGGCGACGAUGGGUAGCUGGUCUGAGAGGAUGGUCAGCCACACUGGGACUGAGAUACGGCCCAGACUCCUACGGGAGGCAGCAGUCGAGAGGCUUUGGCAAUGGGGAAACCCUGACCAAGCGACGCCGCGUGGAGGAUGAAGGCCCUUGGGUUGUAACUCCUUUUGUCGGGAAGAAAUGCGAUCAGGUAAACAAUCUGGUCGUUUGACGGUACCCGGCGAAUAAGCUCCGGCUAACUCCGUGCCAGCCGCC
rnacentral:rRNA from 1 species